rnacentral:rRNA from 1 species
UACGUAGGGGGCAAGCGUUGUCCGGAUUUAUUGGGCGUAAAGCGCGUGUAGGCGGCCAUGUAGGUCUGACGUGAAAUUCCGAGGCUCAACCUCGGCAGGUCGUUGGAAACCAUAUGGCUAGAGUCCGGAAGAGGAGAGUGGAAUUCCUGGUGUAGCGGUGAAAUGCGCAGAUAUCAGGAGGAACACCGAAUGGCGAAGGCAGG